rnacentral:rRNA from 1 species
AACGAAGGGCGCAAGCGUCGCACGGAAUCACUGGGCGUAAAGCGCACGUAGGCGGAUUGUUAAGUCAGGGGUGAAAUGCCGAGGCUCAACCUCGGAACUGCCUUUGAUACUGGCGAUCUAGAGUCCGGGAGAGGUGAGUGGAACUGCGAGUGUAGAGGUGAAAUUCGUAGAUAUUCGCAAGAACACCAGUGGCGAAGGCGGCUCACUGGACCGGAACUGACGCUGAGGUGCGAAAGCGUGGGGAGCAAACAGG